rnacentral:rRNA from 1 species
UACGUAGGGGGCAAGCGUUGUCCGGAUUUAUUGGGCGUAAAGCGCUCGCAGGUGGUUCGUUGCGUCGUGCGUUGAAAGACCCCGGCUCAACUGGGGAGGGUCGUGCGAUACGGGCGGACUGGAGGCCAGUAGGGGGAGUGCGGAAUUCCGGGUGUAGUGGUGGAAUGCGUAGAGAUCCGGAGGAACACCAGCGGCGAAGGCGGCAUCCUGGACUGGUCCUGACACUCAGGA